UACGUAGGGUGCGAGCGUUGUCCGGAAUUAUUGGGCGUAAAGAGCUCGUAGGCGGUGUGUCGCGUCGGCCGUGAAAACCUGGGGCUUAACUCUGGGCGUGCGGUCGAUACGGGCAUCACUAGAGUUCGGUAGGGGAGACUGGAAUUCCUGGUGUAGCGGUGAAAUGAGCAGAUAUCAGGAGGAACACCGGUGGCGAAGGCGGGUCUCUGGGCCGAGACUGACGCUGAGGAGCGAAAGUGUGGGGAGCGAACAGG
rnacentral:rRNA from 1 species